rnacentral:lncRNA from 1 species
CAGCGUCUAAGCAGUGCUUCUGGGGAUCAUCCUGGCACCUCUGGUGCCGUGCUGAGAAACUUAGGCAGGUGCAGCUCUCUCGGCACCCAGCCAACUUCGGCCUCGUUACUGUGGCCGCUUAGCACGUGGCUGCCCACGGCUGUAGGGCUCACUCUUCUGCCGGCAGCCAUGGCAAGCCGUCCUGGAGAGAGGUAAGUGUUCGUGUCCCAGAGACUGCAACUCCCAGCCUUGCAGUUAAGCUCAAAGCCGCCGGGGCACGGCUAGGAAAGCCCAGCUAUGCAGGGCCCUAGGGGUGGCGGCGCUCUCCUCGCCCGAUGCCCCCCGCCCCGUUCCCAAGCGGACCAAUCUUCCGAGCGGGGCAGCCAGGCUGCCGCGGGGAGAUGGCGCCAGGUAGGGAGCCCGAGGACGGGGCCGGUGUUGUUGUCGCCGCAGGGCGAGGGCAGAAGGGCACGGCACGGCACGGCUGCUCCGCGCGCCCCCGCCCCAAGGCGGGAGUGGUGGUACGCGCCUCUUCCCCGCCUCCUCCCCAGCCUUGAACGAGGCGCUGGACGCUUUUCCCGGCGGGAGGAAGCGCACGAAAUAAAAACAAGUGUGUCCGCGCUGAGGGAGGGGGAUUUCUGCAUCCCCUCACCGACCGAGCCGCUGUGCCCUGUUGCGGAGCCGGGAAAGCGAGGUCAUAAACCUACAUUGGUGCUGGCCAGGAGCGCAAGCUGGAUAGCUCAGGCUCUAGAGCUGUGAUCUUCCACGUCGAGGUGGUCUCCUGAGUGGUAAGGAGUUGCACGUUAACCAAGGGUCACAUUUCCAAGCCUAGGAUUAGGUGAUAGUUAC